GAAAUGCGAAAAGUAGUGUGAAUUGCAGAAUUCAGUGAAUCAUCGAAUCUUUGAACGCACAUUGCGCCCCUUGGUAUUCCAUGGGGCAUGCCUGUUCGAGCGUCAUUUGUACCUUCAAGCCCUGCUUGGUGUUGGGUGCCUUGUCCCGCGUUUCAGCGUUGGACUCACCUUAAAGUUAUUGGCAGCCGGCACACUAGCCUGGGAGCGCAGCACAAUGUUCGCCCCUUGACUCGCGUGUUGGCAUCCAUGAAGCCUACAAUUUUUACUCUUGACCUCGGAUCAGGUAGGGAUACCCGCUGAACUUAA
rnacentral:misc_RNA from 1 species